UGGGGAAUAUUGCGCAAUGGAGGAAACUCUGACGCAGCAACGCCGCGUGAAGGAAGAAGGCUUUCGGGUUGUAAACUUCUUUGAUCGGGGACGAAGAUGACGGUACCCGAGGAACAAGCCCCGGCUAACUCCGUGCCAGCAGCCGCGGUAAUACGGAGGGGGCAAGCGUUGUUCGGAUUUAUUGGGCGUAAAGCGCGUGUAGGCGGUACGGUAAGUCGGAUGUUAAAGACCCACGGCUCACCCGGGGGAGUGCGUUCGAUACUGCCGUGCUAGAGUGCAGGAGAGGAAAGUGGAAUUCCUGGUGUAGCGGUGAAAUGCGUAGAUAUCAGGAGGAACACCGGUGGCGAAGGCGGCUUUCUGGCCUGUAACUGACGCUGAGGCGCGAAAGCAUGGGGAGCGAACGGG
rnacentral:rRNA from 1 species